rnacentral:rRNA from 1 species
AGAGUUUGAUCAUGGCUCAGAUUGAACGCUGGCGGCAGGCCUAACACAUGCAAGUCGAACGGUAACAGAAAGCAGCUUGCUGCUUUGCUGACGAGUGGCGGACGGGUGAGUAAUGUCUGGGAAACUGCCUGAUGAGGGGGAUAACUACUGGAAACGGUAGCUAAUACCGCAUAACGUCGCAAGACCAAAGAGGGGGACCUUCGGGCCUCUUGCCAUCGGAUGUGCCCAGAUGGGAUUAGCUUGUUGGUGGGGUAACGGCUCACCAAGGCGACGAUCCCUAGCUGGUCUGAGAGGAUGACCAGCCACACUGGAACUGAGACACGGUCCAGACUCCUACGGGAGGCAGCAGUGGGGAAUAUUGCACAAUGGGCGCAAGCCUGAUGCAGCCAUGCCGCGUGUAUGAAGAAGGCCUUCGGGUUGUAAAGUACUUUCAGCGGGGAGGAAGGGAGUAAAGUUAAUACCUUUGCUCAUUGACGUUACCCGCAGAAGAAGCACCGGCUAACUCCGUGCCAGCAGCCGCGGUAAUACGGAGGGUGCAAGCGUUAAUCGGAAUUACUGGGCGUAAAGCGCACGCAGGCGGUUUGUUAAGUCAGAUGUGAAAUCCCCGGGCUCAACCUGGGAACUGCAUCUGAUACUGGCAAGCUUGAGUCUCGUAGAGGGGGGUAGAAUUCCAGGUGUAGCGGUGAAAUGCGUAGAGAUCUGGAGGAAUACCGGUGGCGAAGGCGGCCCCCUGGACGAAGACUGACGCUCAGGUGCGAAAGCGUGGGGAGCAAACAGGAUUAGAUACCCUGGUAGUCCACGCCGUAAACGAUGUCGACUUGGAGGUUGUGCCCUUGAGGCGUGGCUUCCGGAGCUAACGCGUUAAGUCGACCGCCUGGGGAGUACGGCCGCAAGGUUAAAACUCAAAUGAAUUGACGGGGGCCCGCACAAGCGGUGGAGCAUGUGGUUUAAUUCGAUGCAACGCGAAGAACCUUACCUGGUCUUGACAUCCACGGAAGUUUUCAGAGAUGAGAAUGUGCCUUCGGGAACCGUGAGACAGGUGCUGCAUGGCUGUCGUCAGCUCGUGUUGUGAAAUGUUGGGUUAAGUCCCGCAACGAGCGCAACCCUUAUCCUUUGUUGCCAGCGGUCCGGCCGGGAACUCAAAGGAGACUGCCAGUGAUAAACUGGAGGAAGGUGGGGAUGACGUCAAGUCAUCAUGGCCCUUACGACCAGGGCUACACACGUGCUACAAUGGCGCAUACAAAGAGAAGCGACCUCGCGAGAGCAAGCGGACCUCAUAAAGUGCGUCGUAGUCCGGAUUGGAGUCUGCAACUCGACUCCAUGAAGUCGGAAUCGCUAGUAAUCGUGGAUCAGAAUGCCACGGUGAAUACGUUCCCGGGCCUUGUACACACCGCCCGUCACACCAUGGGAGUGGGUUGCAAAAGAAGUAGGUAGCUUAACCUUCGGGAGGGCGCUUACCACUUUGUGAUUCAUGACCGGGGUGAAGUCGUAACAAGGUAACCGUAGGGGAGCCUGCGGUUGGAUCACCU